rnacentral:rRNA from 1 species
UACAGAGGUCUCAAGCGUUGUUCGGAUUCAUUGGGCGUAAAGGGUGCGUAGGCGGCGCUGUAAGUCGGGCGUGAAAUCUCGGAGCUUAACUCCGAAACUGCAUUCGAUACUGCCGUGCUUGAGGACUGGAGAGGAGACUGGAAUUUACGGUGUAGCGGUGAAAUGCGUAGAUAUCAGGAGGAACACCAGCGGCGAAGGCGGCGCUCUGGGCCGGAACUGACGCUGAGGAGCGAAAGCGUGGGUAGCAAACAGG